rnacentral:lncRNA from 1 species
AAAAACCAAAACUAAAAACUAAAAACCAAAAUCUAAAGUCACCAUUCAUGUUUUUCAAAAAACCAAAAUCUACUGCAAAAUCUAAAAUCCAAAAACCAAAAUCUAAAAUCCAAAAACCAAAAACUAAAAACCAAAAACCAAAAUCUAAAAUCUAGAAACCACACAAACAAUCAUCACCUAAACAUCUUCUUCUUCACUUAACAACCACUACACGUCGCUUCCUCUAAUAAUGUCACCACUGUCGGAGUUCAGCACCGUAUCUCCACUAUGCCACUAGCAAAACCGUAAUAUUUACUGUUUUUAUA